rnacentral:rRNA from 1 species
AGUCGAGCGGUAGAGAGGUGCUUGCACCUCUUGAGAGCGGCGGACGGGUGAGUAAUGCCUAGGAAUCUGCCUGGUAGUGGGGGAUAACGCUCGGAAACGGACGCUAAUACCGCAUACGUCCUACGGGAGAAAGCAGGGGACCUUCGGGCCUUGCGCUAUCAGAUGAGCCUAGGUCGGAUUAGCUAGUUGGUGAGGUAAUGGCUCACCAAGGCGACGAUCCGUAACUGGUCUGAGAGGAUGAUCAGUCACACUGGAACUGAGACACGGUCCAGACUCCUACGGGAGGCAGCAGUGGGGAAUAUUGGACAAUGGGCGAAAGCCUGAUCCAGCCAUGCCGCGUGUGUGAAAAAGGUCUUCGGAUUGUAAAGCACUUUAAGUUGGGAGGAAGGGCAGUUACCUAAUACGUAUCUGUUUUGACGUUACCGACAGAAUAAGCACCGGCUAACUCUGUGCCAGCAGCCGCGGUAAUACAGAGGGUGCAAGCGUUAAUCGGAAUUACUGGGCGUAAAGCGCGCGUAGGUGGUUCGUUAAGUUGGAUGUGAAAGCCCCGGGCUCAACCUGGGAACUGCAUUCAAAACUGACGAGCUAGAGUAUGGUAGAGGGUGGUGGAAUUUCCUGUGCAGCGGUGAAAUGCGUAGAUAUAGGAAGG